UAUUCUGUGGCAGUGGGCUGGGGAGAUAAGUCUUUGUUGCGACAUAAAACACAUGCAGACCAAAGUGUGAAAAAUUGAAAUGACAAGGGUGCCCGGGUGUUGUUUCUUAAGUUCGGUCAAAUGUGCAGACAUAGGAAGUAAGGUAUGCCCUGGGUCCUUUGCAUGCUGAAUCGAACCUGCUUCCCGUGUUCCCCAGAACGCAGUGGGACAUGGUAAGGCCAGGUGCCUGUGACAAACAAUACCACAGUGUCCUGGCCCUUCCUUCUCAGACGGUUUAUGCGAUCUAUUGCCUGUUUGAUUUUGGCGUGAGACGGAAGAGAGAUGCUAGUGUGUAGGAAACUGGUCCAGGUACAGUGAAAGCUGUCAAAACUGUUGUUUUAGUGAUAUCGUGCUCCUGUCCCACGGUGUAGAAGGAGUUCAGCGUCCACGGGUCCUCCGUCAACACAGGAAGCUGGACUUCUGAGAAUCCCUUGCAGAAAGAAAUGAAGGGCCAGAGAAACAGGAGCUCAGAAGGCAGGCCGACGAUGGAAGAACAGAGUAAAUAUUGAGAUUCCAGUGGCAAAUAACCAGGGAUCUCCUUUCAGACACUGAGCACAGUGAGCAGACCUGCAGCGUUUCUCUUCCCAAGCUCCCUGCAGCUGGACAAUGCAGAUUCUACACAGUGAAGAGAAGCAGAGAACCCAGGAUGAGGGGAAAGAUCCGAGUCUAUGCUUUGAGCUUUGAAGACAAGAAUUCUUUCACAGGAACUGGAGUUACAGUAGGUUAUAAGGAACCAUGUGGGUGCCUGAAACUGAACCUGGGCCCUCUGCAGGAGCAGCAAGUGCUCUUAACCAACGAGCGUCCUCUCCAUCCUUAGGUGAGUGAGUCAUACAGGCUGUCCCCUCCUUCACAGCUGUCCUUGCUUAAGUCUACAGCUCCAAAUACUGCACCCAGUAGCUGUACCACCUUAUUUUGUACUGUUUUGUUUUGAAUCCUAUUAUAUUUUCAUAGAUAGUAAUAAUAGAUAUUUCAAAGUGUGUGCACAGCAAAAUAUUGUUAUGCCUAUAUGUUUUAGUAGGUGGUGGUUUUUCAUAAAGAGUGUUGGCCUUGAUGUUGGCAUCAGGAAAUGGCUUUACAGUCAGGAACUGGCUUUAUGGUGGCAGGUCACCUCUGAAUCCAACAAUGAUGCUAAUGUCACCUGUAAGCAACAGGGAUAGGCACAUCUGCUGCCGUGGCAAUCGAACACAUUCCCAGCCUCUACCUUUACCUGUACCAGCGAUGCGAGCAGUUACAUCACUGCCCAAAUAAAAGGCAGACCCUUCCUGACCUUCUUGCUCUUUCCUUCCUCAUCCUCGUUGCUCCCCUUUGUCCCUUCCCCCCACAAUAAACCUCUCUCCUGUGGAACUGUACUGGCCUGCUGUGGUCUGUUUGGAUGAGCCGCGAUUCUCACAACACUUGAGAGUUGGCAAAUUCUUUUCCCAGGACCCUAGUCUUUCCUAAGGAACAGAGUGUGUGUUUAUCUGCAGUCACAUGUAACUGACUCUUCUGUUUACACCCAUGUCCCCACACUCCCUACCCAGAAGAUUCCGUAAAAUCUGUCAUCCUAUCUCACAUACUUCAUGGCCUCCUUUGCCUCACAUCCUGCUUUCCUUGGGGAAACAUAUCCUUUAUGAAAAGCUCCUGGUGUUCUCCGAGUUAGCACCCUCCAUCUGGGAACUUCCAUUACAAAGCCACACUUUCCCUGUAGCCUGUCAGUUAGUUUUGUAUCUGU